CAGCAGCCGCGGGAAUACAGAGGGUGCGAGCGUUAAUCGGAUUUACUGGGCGUAAAGCGUGCGUAGGCGGCUUCUUAAGUCGGAUGUGAAAUCCCUGAGCUUAACUUAGGAAUUGCAUUCGAUACUGGGAAGCUAGAGUAUGGGAGAGGAUGGUAGAAUUCCAGGUGUAGCGGUGAAAUGCGUAGAGAUCUGGAGGAAUACCGAUGGCGAAGGCAGCCAUCUGGCCUAAUACUGACGCUGAGGUACGAAAGCAUGGGGAGCGAACAGGAUUAGAUACCCCCGUAGUCCCUGUCUCUUAUAC
rnacentral:rRNA from 1 species